rnacentral:rRNA from 1 species
GACGAACGCUGGCGGCGUGCCUAAUACAUGCAAGUAGAACGCUGAAGAGAGGAGCUUGCUCUUCUUGGAUGAGUUGCGAACGGGUGAGUAACGCGUAGGUAACCUGCCUUGUAGCGGGGGAUAACUAUUGGAAACGAUAGCUAAUACCGCAUAACAAUGGAUGACACAUGUCAUUUAUUUGAAAGGGGCAAUUGCUCCACUACAAGAUGGACCUGCGUUGUAUUAGCUAGUAGGUGAGGUAACGGCUCACCUAGGCGACGAUACAUAGCCGACCUGAGAGGGUGAUCGGCCACACUGGGACUGAGACACGGCCCAGACUCCUACGGGAGGCAGCAGUAGGGAAUCUUCGGCAAUGGGGGCAACCCUGACCGAGCAACGCCGCGUGAGUGAAGAAGGUUUUCGGAUCGUAAAGCUCUGUUGUAGGUCAAGAACGAGUGUGAGAGUGGAAAGUUCACACUGUGACGGUAGCUUACCAGAAAGGGACGGCUAACUACGUGCCAGCAGCCGCGGUAAUACGUAGGUCCCGAGCGUUGUCCGGAUUUAUUGGGCGUAAAGCGAGCGCAGGCGGUUUGAUAAGUCUGAAGUUAAAGGCUGUGGCUCAACCAUAGUUCGCUUUGGAAACUGUCAAACUUGAGUGCAGAAGGGGAGAGUGGAAUUCCAUGUGUAGCGGUGAAAUGCGUAGAUAUAUGGAGGAACACCGGUGGCGAAAGCGGCUCUCUGGUCUGUAACUGACGCUGAGGCUCGAAAGCGUGGGGAGCGAACAGGAUUAGAUACCCUGGUAGUCCACGCCGUAAACGAUGAGUGCUAGGUGUUGGAUCCUUUCCGGGAUUCAGUGCCGCAGCUAACGCAUUAAGCACUCCGCCUGGGGAGUACGACCGCAAGGUUGAAACUCAAAGGAAUUGACGGGGGCCCGCACAAGCGGUGGAGCAUGUGGUUUAAUUCGAAGCAACGCGAAGAACCUUACCAGGUCUUGACAUCCCGAUGCUAUUUCUAGAGAUAGAAAGUUACUUCGGUACAUCGGUGACAGGUGGUGCAUGGUUGUCGUCAGCUCGUGUCGUGAGAUGUUGGGUUAAGUCCCGCAACGAGCGCAACCCCUAUUGUUAGUUGCCAUCAUUCAGUUGGGCACUCUAGCGAGACUGCCGGUAAUAAACCGGAGGAAGGUGGGGAUGACGUCAAAUCAUCAUGCCCCUUAUGACCUGGGCUACACACGUGCUACAAUGGUUGGUACAACGAGUUGCGAGUCGGUGACGGCAAGCUAAUCUCUUAAAGCCAAUCUCAGUUCGGAUUGUAGGCUGCAACUCGCCUACAUGAAGUCGGAAUCGCUAGUAAUCGCGGAUCAGCACGCCGCGGUGAAUACGUUCCCGGGCCU